CACGCCGUAAACGAUGUCAACUAGAUGUUGGGAGGGUCUACCUCUUAGUGUCGCAGCUAACGCGUUAAGUUGACCGCCUGGGGAGUACGGCCGCAAGGUUAAACUCAAAGGAAUUGACGGGGGCCCGCACAAGCGGUGGAGCAUGUGGUUUAAUUCGAUGCAACGCGAAGAACCUUACCUACCCUUGACAUUGACAGAAUCCUGUAGAGAUACGGGAGUGCCUUCGGGCCUGGAAAACAG
rnacentral:rRNA from 1 species